rnacentral:rRNA from 1 species
GCAGUAGCCACGGGAAUACGUAGGUGGCAAGCGUUGUCCGGAAUUAUUGGGCGUAAAGCGCGCGCAGGUGGUUUAAUAAGUCUGAUGUGAAAGCCCACGGCUCAACCGUGGAGGGUCAUUGGAAACUGGGAAACUUGAGUGCAGAAGAGGAGAGUGGAAUUCCACGUGUAGCGGUGAAAUGCGUAGAGAUGUGGAGGAACACCAGUGGCGAAGGCGACUCUCUGGUCUGUAACUGACGCUGAGGAGCGAAAGCGUGGGGAGCGAACAGGAUUAGAUACCCCCGUAGUCCCUGUCUCUUAUAC